rnacentral:rRNA from 1 species
UACGAAGGGGGCUAGCGUUGCUCGGAAUCACUGGGCGUAAAGCGCACGUAGGCGGAUUGUUAAGUCAGGGGUGAAAUCCUGGAGCUCAACUCCAGAACUGCCUUUGAUACUGGCGAUCUUGAGUCCGGGAGAGGUGAGUGGAACUGCGAGUGUAGAGGUGAAAUUCGUAGAUAUUCGCAAGAACACCAGUGGCGAAGGCGGCUCACUGGCCCGGUACUGACGCUGAGGUGCGAAAGCGUGGGGAGCAAACA